UGGCUCUGGCAUCGAUGAAGAACGCAGCAAAAUGCGAUAAGUAAUGUGAAUUGCAGAAUUCAGUGAAUCAUCGAAUCUUUGAACGCACAUUGCGCCCGCCAGCACUCUGGCGGGCAUGCCUGUCUGAGCGUCAUUACAACCCUCAGGUCCUUUGACCUGGUGUUGAGGCCCAGCGUGUCUGGAACGCGCUGUCCUCCAAAUCUAGUGGCAGACCACUCGUGAUCUCCUCCGCGCAGUAGCUGAUACCUCGCAGCUGGAAGACGGGCGGUCCUUGCCGUAAAAGCCCAACUCAUCAAGGUUGACCUCAGAUCAGGUAGGAAUACCCGCUGA
rnacentral:misc_RNA from 1 species